AUCGAGUGGCGAACGGGUGAGUAACGCGUGAGGAACCUGCCUCAAAGAGGGGGACAACAGUUGGAAACGACUGCUAAUACCGCAUAAGCCCACGGCUCGGCAUCGAGCAGAGGGAAAAGGAGYGAUCCGCUUUGAGAUGGCCUCGCGUCCGAUUAGCUAGUUGGUGAGGUAACGGCCCACCAAGGCGACGAUCGGUAGCCGGACUGAGAGGUUGAACGGCCACAUUGGGACUGAGACACGGCCCAGACUCCUACGGGAGGCAGCAGUGGGGAAUAUUGCACAAUGGGGGAAACCCUGAUGCAGCGACGCCGCGUGGAGGAAGAAGGUCUUCGGAUUGUAAACUCCUGUUGUUGAGGAAGAUAAUGACGGUACUCAACAAGGAAGUGACGGCUAACUACGUGCCAGCAGCCGCGGUAAAACGUAGGUCACAAGCGUUGUCCGGAAUUACUGGGUGUAAAGGGAGCSCAGSCGGGAGAACAAGUUGGAAGUGAAAUCCAUGGGCUCAACCCAUGAACUGCUUUCAAAACUGUUUUUCUUGAGUAGUGCAGAGGUAGGCGGAAUUCCCGGUGUAGCGGUGGAAUGCGUAGAUAUCGGGAGGAACACCAGUGGCGAAGGCGGCCUACUGGGCACCAACUGACGCUGAGGCUCGAAAGUGUGUGUAGCAAACAGGAUUAGAUACCCUGGUAAUCCACACCGUAAACGAUGAUUACUAGGUGUUGGAGGAUUGACCCCUUCAGUGCCGCAGUUAACACAAUAAGUAAUCCACCUGGGGAGUACGACCGCAAGGUUGAAACUCAAAGGAAUUGACGGGGGCCCGCACAAGCAGUGGAGUAUGUGGUUUAAUUCGACGCAACGCGAAGAACCUUACCAAGUCUUGACAUCCCUUGACGAACAUAGAAAUAUGUUUUCUCUUCGGAGCAAGGAGACAGGUGGUGCAUGGUUGUCGUCAGCUCGUGUCGUGAGAUGUUGGGUUAAGUCCCGCAACGAGCGCAACCCUUAUGGUCAGUUACUACGCAAGAGGACUCUGGCCAGACUGCCGUUGACAAAACGGAGGAAGGUGGGGAUGACGUCAAAUCAUCAUGCCCUUUAUGACUUGGGCUACACACGUACUACAAUGGCGUUAAACAAAGAGAAGCAAGACCGCGAGGUGGAGCAAAACUCAGAAACAACGUCCCAGUUCGGACUGCAGGCUGCAACUCGCCUGCACGAAGUCGGAAUUGCUAGUAAUCGUGGAUCAG
rnacentral:rRNA from 1 species